rnacentral:lncRNA from 1 species
UGUAUGGCUUAGAAGCUACUACUGUUAUUUUUUUAUUCCUUUUAAUUCUUCCACAGCUUAUUGAAGCAGCCACCCCAGGGAGAGCAUGAUUAGUGAAGAGUAUGUGGGAUGGAACUUCGGAGCACACUGAAGACCAAACUGGAGAACAGCUGGAGAGAUGCACAAGGCCCUUUUUCACUUCCGUUUCAUUUUUGGAAGUGACAGUCUCCCCAGAGAGAAGCCAGUGGACUUCUUCGAAAAGCUUGAGCUGCAUGUUUCGAUUUGUACAUCUCUGGCCAGAGUGAGAGGAGGUGAGCCCUUGUAUCACUUUAUAGCUCCUUUGUUAAUGUUUGC